GUUCUUACUUCAUUGCAUCUUAAAUAGGAGAACUCCAUCAGCCCCUCUUAUUGUCCUUAACAGUCAUCUUCCUUCAUCAGCAGGUGCCUGUGUUGCUUUUCUUUCAGUAGUGGUGAUCACAAAGGCUGCUUGUUAUCACCGGGGUUUAACAAAGGGCUUCUUACAGAGUUUAUUGGCAUUCUGUCCACCUCCAAUCAUGGAAACAAAAAAACCCUUUUCUUUUUGCUCUCUGAUCUCAUCUUUCAUGGAGGUGGGCAAACUGCCAACUGGGCUCUGUUGGCUUCUCUUUGUAAAAUCCUUGUGAUGCAUUUCUUCUACCAACUCUCAGGAUCCAGAAAAGGAUAAGAAAAGAAAUGGAGUGAAGCCAAAUUUACUAUCUGCCUAGUACUUUUCAUCAUUCUUCUGUUAUUCACAGGGUUUGAUUGUUAGCAGUUAUGUGAGGUCUGAGGAUGUUAUUCGGUCAUAUUCUACAUUGAACUCCUUUGAGGCUUUUGACCUGCACAAUUAUUUUCUACUUUUUCCCAGCCAUCAAAUAGUAGUCUUGAAGUUGCAGUGCUCCAUCUAGGGUUUUAUGAUUAGCCUCUUGUUUUUGUUUUUUGUAUGCAUCGGAGUCAGGAAAGAUGUUUGAAUUUCAUAUCCAAAUCCAAGUAAAACCCUUCAAAACAAACUACUUGGGAUACUGUAUUGUCCUAGAAAACCAAACAACAGAAACAAGGAGAUUUAAUUAGAUUUUCAUAACAUCCUAAAUGAUGACCCCAUUGAAGGCUUUGAAUCAAACAUUUUUGUUUCUUGAA